rnacentral:lncRNA from 1 species
GGAAUUUAUUCUCUAACUGCCAGAUGCAAGCCAAUGAUGUGUUGCUGCAUGCAAUGUUGUUUAGUUGGUUCAUGUGUUGGUAUUUACAGGGUUUGCUGCAGGUUGCAGGAUACUAGGAAUUCAAGUCAUGGUGCCUUGGUGAAGGGUUGGUACAUGACAAGUAAUGUGUCAAUUCUUUUGUUCAGUUUGAUGGUGAUCUUGCUUAGUGUACUUCGGGCUUGUGUUCUGCACCUAAGGUGCA